rnacentral:rRNA from 1 species
UACGCACUCCUACGGGAGGCAGCAGUGGGGAAUAUUGCACAAUGGGCGCAAGCCUGAUGCAGCCAUGCCGCGUGUAUGAAGAAGGCCUUCGGGUUGUAAAGUACUUUCAGCAGUGAGGAAGGUGGGUAUGUUAAUAGCAUACUCAUUUGACGUUAGCUGCAGAAGAAGCACCGGCUAACUCCGUGCCAGCAGCCGCGGUAAUACGGAGGGUGCGAGCGUUAAUCGGAAUUACUGGGCGUAAAGCGCAUGCAGGUGGUUUGUUAAGUCAGAUGUGAAAGCCCGGGGCUCAACCUCGGAAUUGCAUUUGAAACUGGCAAACUAGAGUACUGUAGAGGGGGUAGAAUUUCAGGUGUAGCGGUGAAAAUGCGUAGAGAUCUGAAGGAAUACCGGUGGCGAAGGCGGCCCCCUGGACAGAUACUGACACUCAGAUGCGAAAGCGUGGGGAGCAAACAGGAUUAGAUACCCUGGUAG